AGAGCCGGGCACUGGGGGAGCCAGGCACUGUGCUCUCCUGUGACGCUGUAGACACCAUCCUGAGCUGUGCAGACCCCAGCGCUGCCCAGAGCGGAGCAGAGGGGGCCGGGCCAAGGAGUGGGAGCUGGGGACAGGGAACCUGGAGGCGAGGUGGAUAGAGCCCCGGAGACCGCCCUAGGGACCUACUCCAGACCAAACUCUGCCAGACCUCGGAGCACUGGGGCCUCCUUCUCUGCCCUCCCUCCUCAGGCAAGGCCUCUGGAGCUCCCCAGCUCUCGUGGAAGCCCCAGGGGCCCAGGACUGACCCAGCCUCUUUCACAGCCAGAGUCCUGGUGGAGGAUGACGAGAUCAUGCAGGGAUUCAUCAGGGCUUUCAGGCCCCUGCCCAGGCACCUAUGGUACUUGCUGGACUUGAAACAGAUGGAAGGUGAGCUCUGCCUAGGACACGCCCAGCCUCAGCUGGAGGAGAAGCUGCCUCUUUCUCAGCCUGAGCCCCCUGCUGGCUCUGUAGGACUCAGGUCACUCCUUUUUGGCCCCUCCCCUGUUCUCCCCCGGCCUCCUGGGGUGCAGAGCCACCCUGAGAUGGGGUCCUGCCCUCUCCCGCCAUCUUUUCACCCCCUCUCUAGCCCUGGGGCUGCUGUGUCCCCAGCUGUCUCUUCUCUCGCUGACACCUCCACUGUCCCAUCUCCUCCCACAGAGCUGUGCCGUUUCUAGGUGAGCUCCUGCCUGGUCCUGCCUCCUGGGUAAUGUAUCAGCCUCGCCCACUGUCUGCGGCUGCCUCUCUGGGCCCCUGGGACAGACCCCACUGUGUCCAGUUCAGGGCUGACCCUGCAGGAAUGAACUGGGGUCUGGUCUUGUGAUUCCAGAAAGCCAGGCUGCUGACGUCCCCAUCCACCAGCCCAGCCUGUGUCUUGCAGCCAUUGUAUUAGUCACAGGCUCGUGCCCUAUAGUCAGACCUCAUGCUUUCUUUUGGAGUUCGGGGUGUUGGUUGGAAAUAGUGGGGGCUAUAGGAGGAAGGAGGAUGGUUACACGGAAGGGCAUGAGAAGCUGGGGACCUGCAGGUCUCAGUCCCACAUUCUUUUUUUUUUUUUUAAGAUGGAGUCUCGCUCUGUCACCAGGCUGGAGUGCAGUGGCACAAUCUCAGCUCACUGCAACCUCGACCUCCUGGGUUCAAGCGAUUCUCCUGGCUCAGCCCCCCGCCAUUCAUCCAUCCAUCUAUUCAUCUAUCCAUCCAUUCCAUCCAAUCAUCCAUUCAUCUAUCCAUUCAUUCUGUUACCGGAUGGUGCUGUGCAGUUACAGGCUCCUGGUGUCCUGAACAGAGAAUUUGAUGUGGCACACACAAAUAGCAAAGCAAGCAGCAAAAGUUUAUUAAGCACAGUAGCACUCUGAGAGAGGGGAGAGUGGGCUGACCUCUGCAAGAUGAGAUCAGCAUUAGUUUGGUAUACUUUGGGUCUUUUUAUAUGUGUUUUUUUUUUUCUUUUCUUCCCAAGGCUG
rnacentral:lncRNA from 1 species